GGGUAGAAGAGAAAGAAUAGACAGGUAGUCCGGCAGUGGCAGUUGCGAUUUAAGAUGACCAGGCUUAGGCGGACCAAGCCCUGAAACCCAUAGCAAGAUGGGACAGGUCAAGGAGGGCUUUGAAAAGCUUGAAAAAUAAGUCGAAAUUAGAUGAAGAAGGGUGCGAAUGAUGUUUUGGGAGUAGGGACUGGUUAGUGCAAAGGCCCUGCAGAGCUACCUGGAGGUAGUUCAGUCUUGAAGAUGAAGGUCUGCCCCCGCCACUCCCCAGGCCGUUGCGGAGACUCGAUCCCCCAAUGGCAGCAGCGGGCAGGUGCUCAGUUCCAGGACCGGCAGUCUAAGACCAGCUCCUUCCGGGACCGACAGGCGGGACUGGGAAAGCAGGGCGGGUCACCGCUCCCCUCUGCCGGCCCCACCCAUCCGCCGACCCCGCCCCUGCUUCCAGCUCCGCCCCCUGCCUCCGGCUCCGCCCUCCACCUCCGGCUGGAGGCAGCCAGGCUCUGGGCUACUGGCCUAAGUCGCUUUUGCCUCCCAUGCUGCCUUUUCCUGCUGAUGUGGCAACGGCCGUGGGGCUACUGGGGCCUCUUCUCUCAGCUUUUCAAGGACAGGCCCUGGAUGUGGUCAGGGAUUCCUGGGCUGGAGCGCAGGACACUUCCGUAGCUAUCUCCUCUUCCUGCCAACGAAGCCUCUGUUGCCAGCGGAGGACUGACCCAGCCUGGCCAGGUUGCCUGGCAGUGUGGGCUGAGGCUGGGCAGUUCCCGAUUCCAGCUGUCCUUCCCGGAAAAACGUCAGUUUGGCUGAACCUUAGGAUCCGUUUGCGAUUUCUAGCCCGGGGAGGAUUACUGGAAGACCAUUAACCACCGUAGGAAGCAGCGCUUUCUGUGUGUCCAACAUCUCUGCAGGACUUACCAGCUGCCCCAUUGGCUUGACCUUCGGCAAGGGACUUCCGUUCCUCCUCUUUUUAUUUGGGUAUACCUUCUGCCCCGACCUGCUGACAUCCAGGACCAUGGAUGAAAGUCACUAGGCUUUGCAAUUCAAGAAGGGUCUUGCGUGGUGCCCUCCACUUAAAUAGUGCUUUUUCAUCCUUUUAUGUGACACUUUGUAUAUACCAUUUGAUGAAUGCUAUGUCUUCAUGAGGACACAUUUGCUCAUCACUUUACCCCCAGAGUCUCUCUCGGUGCCUGACACAUGGAAGAAGACCUACAAUAAGGAUUAGUUCAUGUGUUAGUGAAUACAUGAGAACACCGGGAGGAGGAUAUUUAGAAGAGCAAUGUUCAUGGCAUAGGUGAACGGGAGGCAAGGGAAGUGCCGAAGGAAGGAGCUAGUAAACCACGGAUACCUGCCGGGAGAUUCUGCACGGCAUUGUGAAGAGAUGGCAUAGAUGUACACACAGCAAAGUGGAUGGGGCUUACAGCGUCAGGCGGGGAAAGCGGCCGAAGAGCGAGAAGGCACAACAGUUCUCCGGUUUUACUGAGGGCUGAAUUGCAGCUGCCCAAGCAACAAGUGGACCUUUAAAGAUGCAUACAGGGCUGCAAGAGAUGAAGGGAGAAAGUGGAGAGACCAAUGAAGGGAGGAAAAAGCAUGUUUCCUGGCAUAGCGGUGGCGCCAUCAGUGCAAAUUGAUCCUCUUGUGUGUGGUGUUAUCUUAGACUGCAGAAGUCUCUUCAGAUGGAACCUAUUGAUUCAAUUCGGAGCUUCUGGCAGUGGUUCACAGCACCAGCCACUGAUCCCCACUGCUGGGAUCACUUGACUCAUGCUGAACAGUGAUCCUGAAAGGUUUAAUAGGAAAAACUUGCCUUCUGCAAACAACUGAAAAAACUGCCCUCAGAAACCGUUUCUUUGGCCCUCAUGGAGCAGCUGGAACUUCCACAGUGAGGCCCUGGACAGGACAAGCUCUCUCUCCUGCCACCCGCCCCCCCCCCCCGCCCGACCCCGAUCAGCCAGAGCGGUGGUCGCCAUGGCCAGCAAGAGGAAAUCCACCACCCCGUGUAUGAUCCCGGUGAAGGCGGUGGUGCUGCAGGAGGCCGGUGUGGAGGCCCAGCCGGCUGAGACCUUGCCUGAGGGGCCCCAGCAAGAGCCGCCCCCUGAAGUGCCCGCCGGCGGCAGUGGGGAGGUGACCCAGGUGCCCAGCAGUACCGACGGCACCACACUGGCCAAUGGGCACCGGAGCACUUUAGACGGCUAUUCCUAUUCCUGCAGAUACUGUGACUUCAGAUCCCAGGACAUAACCCAAUUUGUGGGGCACAUGAACUCAGAGCACACAGACUUUAACAAGGACCCAACUUUUGUAUGCACUGAAUGCAGUUUUCUGGCAAAAACUCCUGAGGGGCUUUCUCUGCACAAUGCCAAGUGUCACUCGGGGGAAGCCAGCUUUGUGUGGAAUGUGGCCAAGCCAGACAAUCAUGUAGUUGUGGAGCAGAGUGUCCCCGAGAGCACCUGCACUCCCGACGUCUCGAGUGAGCCCAACACCGAAGGGACCGACGGACAGGCCGAAAUCAUUAUUACCAAAACCCCAAUCAUGAAGAUAAUGAAAGGCAAAGCUGAAGCCAAAAAAAUUCAUACGCUCAAGGAGAACAUCCCCAGUCAGCCUGUCGGUGACGCGGCCUUACCAAACCCGUCGGCAGGGGAGACCGAGGCGAAGGAGGGGGACCACACCUUUGUCGACGGGGCGGUCCCAGUCGGUCAGCCAGCCGCCGGCUCGGCGAAAGCGCCACACAUGGCCAACGGGCCCCCGAUGGGAGCGGUGCCAGUCCUGCCGGCCGGCCUCGCCCAGUUCCUCCCCCUGCAGCAGCCACCCCCCGGGCGCGCCCAGCACCACCACCAGCCACCGCCCACAUCCAAGUCCCUCCCCAAGGUGAUGAUCCCCCUGAGCAGCAUCCCCACCUACAACGCGGCCAUGGACUCCAACAGCUUUCUGAAGAACUCGUUCCACAAGUUCCCCUACCCUACCAAAGCCGAGCUCUGCUAUCUGACUGUGGUCACCAAGUAUCCGGAGGAACAGCUCAAGAUCUGGUUCACGGCCCAAAGGCUGAAGCAGGGCAUCAGCUGGUCCCCUGAGGAGAUCGAGGACGCCCGGAAAAAGAUGUUCAAUACGGUCAUUCAGUCUGUGCCCCAGCCCACGAUCACCGUCCUCAACACGCCCCUGGUUGCCAACGCCGGCGGCGUCCAACACCUCAUCCAGGCCGCCCUCCCAGGCCACGUGGUGGGGCAGCCAGAGGGCACGGCAGGUGGCCUGCUGGUCACUCAGCCACUGAUGGCCAACGGGCUGCAGGCGCCUGGCUCGUCCCUACCGCCGGCAGUCACGUCUGUCCCCAAGCCGCCCGCCGUGGCGCCCAUCAACACAGUGUGCUCCAACACGACGUCGGCUGUGAAGGUGGUGAACGCGGCUCAGUCGCUGCUCACGGCGUGCCCCAGCAUCACCUCCCAGGCCUUCCUCGACGCCAGCAUCUACAAAAACAAGAAGUCUCAUGAGCAGCUGUCGGCUCUGAAAGGAAGCUUCUGUCGGAACCAGUUCCCGGGCCAGAGCGAGGUGGAGCAUCUGACCAAAGUGACGGGCCUCAGCACCAGAGAGGUGCGCAAGUGGUUCAGCGACCGCAGGUACCACUGCCGGAACCUGAAGGGCUCCAGGCCCGUGCUGCCCGGCGACCAUGGCCCCGUCGUCCUUGACCCCGGGCCAGAUACGCCCUUCGCCCCGGCGGCCAAGGCCCCAGAGGGGCCCUGCGUCCCACCGGCGGCCACUCUGGCCGCCCCUCCUUCAGCCAGACGGCAGGCCUGGCACCAGACCCCCGACUUCACGCCGACCAGGUACAAGGAGCGAGCCCCCGAGCAGCUCCGAGCCCUGGAGAGCAGUUUUGCACAAAACCCCCUUCCUCCCGAUGAGGAGCUGGACCGCCUGCGGACUGAAACCAAGAUGACUCGGAGGGAGAUUGACAGCUGGUUCUCGGAGAGACGCAAGAAAGUGAGCGCCGAGGACACCAAGAGGGCCGAUGAAGGCGCCGCUCCGGAGGAGGCGGCGGCGGCUGCGGAGGACGACGUGGGAGAAGAGGAGCUGGCUGGCGACCUGAGGGUCCCUGGCGGAGACGGCUCUCCAGAAGGGGCCGGUGGCCACGCGCUGGCCGAGCGCAAGGUCAGCCCCAUCAAGAUCAACCUCAAGAACCUGCGAGUCACCGAAGCCAACGGCAAGGGCGAGCUCCCGGGGCUGGGCGCCUGCGAGCCCGUGGACGGCGGGCCCGGCGAGCCGGCCGAGCAGCCCCCGGGGAAGGCAAGCUGCAAGAAGACGGCCCAGCAGCGGCACCUGCUGCGGCAGCUCUUCGUGCAGACGCGGUGGCCCAGCAACCAGGACUACGACUCCAUCAUGGCGCAGACCGGCCUGCCGCGGCCCGAGGUGGUGCGCUGGUUCGGGGACAGCAGGUACGCCCUGAAGAACGGCCAGCUCAAGUGGUACGAGGACUACAAGCGGGGCAACUUCCCCCCCGGGCUGCUGGCGGUCGCCCCUGGCAGCCGGGAGCUGCUGCAGGACUACUACCUGAGGCACCAGACGCUCUUCGAGCGGGACCUGCAGAGCCUGUGCGACAAGACCCAGAUGAGCUCCCAGCAGGUCAAGCAGUGGUUCGCUGAGAAGAUGGGCGAGGAGACCCGGGCCGUGGCCGACACCGGCGGCGAGGACCAGGGCGCCGGUGAGCCCGCGGCGGCUCACAGAGGGACUGGUGACGGGUACUCGGAGGUGUCGGAGAACAGUGAGUCGUGGGAGCCCGGAGCCCCUGAGGCCAGCUCGGAGCCCUCUGACGCGCCGAGUCCCCAGGCUGCACUGGAGCUGGAAACGGACUGAAUUUGAACUGAUUACACUGAAGGACUGGCCAGUCUGGGAUGCCGCCUGCCACGUGAAGGGGCUCCACCCGACUCUCCGCUGCCACAUGCUGUUCCCACGCCCGCCGCUGGGCACACACGAGAGCUUCUGGAGGCCUCGCUGCCAGCCCGGAGCCCACUGCCACCUUGGGCCCGCCACCACCAAGCGAGCCAGCCAGCGGGGAUCGCAGAGUCCUCGUCAGUUCUUCCUCCCACAAUGUAGGACCUUUCCUUUGCCUUCCAGUGGAUAAAAUAGUUCAGAUUUCAUAUUCAUAGACACAAAUCAAGUUUUUAACAUACAAAUCUGCCUAUACACAUUUAAUAAAACGUCAGAUUGUAAACACUUUCAUUACAUAGAAACUUUGGUUAGCAAGCAGUACAUUGCCGUCUACGUCAUCUCUGAACAUGCCCCGUUCUCUUCUCUAGAGAUCCCUGGGGCCACGUGUCCCCUCAGCAGCGGGCCGGGGGCACCGCACACUCAGAGGCGUACCUGUGCGCUCCUCCACGAAGGCAGGGCUUUUGAAGAGGUCUCUGCCGUCACGCCGGGCUCGCGUUGCCCUGCAGGAUGAUAAUCUGUGCAGAAGCGCCGGUCCCUGCGGUUUGUACGUGAUGGCGCGUGCUCGUCCCGCCCGAAAGUCCUUACAGCCCUUCUCCUUUUUCACGGGCGUCAGAAGCAUGGACCAGAACUUUUCGGUUCUCAGAUCACCUUAGAGAAACGUUUGUUGUCAAGCCUGAUGUACUGACCUAUGUGCCCACAUUUUUGUUUUUGUUUUUGUUUUUAAGCUAGAUGUGUUGAGAGUGAGAGGGAAAUUGAGAAAAAGGGGGCUUAAAGUGGAAGCGCGCAGCCCCAGCAGGUGGCUUUGGCCGCUGUGGUGUUCAGAGCCCUUGACCCUCACUCGCUUCAAGGCUGCCUUUGGUUGGGAAGGAAGACCUGCACUCAGCCAGUAGUCCGAGUGAGAGCUGACAGGAUCUGGGACUCCGGAGUUCUCAGAGCUGGGGUGGGCUUGCACGCGGGGGUUCCUGGCAGGACGCCCAGAGUACUCGCGGCCCUCACGCCAAGGGCCUGGCUGGGUGCUGGACAUCACCGGACGGGUGCUUGUGAGGAUUUUUCAAGUUCUGCAUUUCUGUCCCCAAAACUUGGAAACAAAAUCUUGGUCUACUUUAGCCUAAUCCUCCCAUCCGUUUUUUUUUGUUUUGAGAAAAUCACAGGAAAAGGUGCUUUUGCAACACUGGGGAACUUGCUUACAGAGCUGUACUACAUGGUAAAUCCUUCUCUCCCCAAGACGGGCUGCUCUGACAGCAGCGGGUGGAGGGUGGGGCAGGCAGAAGGCCCGUCACGUGUACUUCUCACCUUCUGGGGACCACCCGCUUCCCAAAGCACCGCGACCUCAUGAGCACGCUCCUCCCGGGCCCAGGCUGGGUGAGUGGCAGGGCCUUUGGGCAAGAAACCCUGGUGGUGGGCUAGGCAUCGUCCUUCUCCCCAACCCCACACGGGAACUGAACUGCGUGGGGCACUGUGCUGGCUUGGCUCCAAGGACUGAAGGUGGUGGUGGCGCCUUCUGCCUUCCAGGAGAGGGGCUGUCUUUGCCAACCCCAAGCCCUUGAGCCCCUGUUCUUCUAAAGUGUCUUCUCUUCUCCUGGGCCCUGUAGGGACCACCUCUUAGUUGUUAGCAAGUGAGUACUUGGCAAGUUUUGCACCCCAUGUUUGUGUCCUUUCCAUCUGAGUGUGAAGCUCUUUAGCCCCAAGGGCCUGUUUCCAGAAUUGCCAAGAGUGGUGAGUGAUUCUUCCUUCAGAGAACAGACACCUGGGAUUUUUCCUUUAGUGUUUAUGUACAUGCAGAUUAAUUUAUAUAUACACAUAGAUACAGGACAAAUACUCACUUUGAUACUUUACUCAGAAGAUGUACAUCUGAGGUGUGCACCUGAGGCAUCUAGUGGCGUGUGGGUGCCAGGGACAGUAGCCUGUGUUGAAGGCAGUGCUGGGAUCCCAGGUGCGGCUGGGGUGGCCCAGCCGGAAACCAUCAGUGUCUGAGACACCACCCUGCGGGCCCCGGUCCAAGUCCUGCACAUACUGGCCAGAGGGUUGUGUCUUUAGAGAGGGUUUUCUUGGUUAUUUAAUUUGUGUUCAUAUUUCAUUUACAACCCAAACAGCAAAACAAAAAACGAAUUACGUGGUAGACAAGUUGGUGCAGGACAUAGGGACCCCGCCUCGGCACCAGCCUGUCUUUGAAAGGUGGGAAAGCUCCGUCCGGUGCUGCCGCCUGGGCGUGUUUUCCUCACAGAUGUUCGCUCUCCCGGCGCCCAGGGCCACCCCGCACAUGGCAGGACCGCCCAGUCCUGAGCGCACUUGUGAAGACUGGCCACUAACCUGGCCUGCCUUCACCAGACUGGAGAUCGGACAGCCCGGAUCCAGCGGGAAGCAACGAUUCUACCUGCCAAAGUCCGGAGCAGGGGCAGAAACCUGAUGCCCGGCACGGCCUAGGCAGGCACUGGUCACCCCAUGGACAAGGGUGGGAGCAAGCACCUGCUGCCUUGACUUUUAAAAACGCUCUCCUUGGUUUGCAGGACCGCCAGGAUCCGCAAAGAGCAUAUGGCUACUGCUCUGCUGUCACCAGCCCCAAGGCUUUAGCAGCCCUCAGCGCCUGGCCCUUGUGGCUGCUCAGGCUGGAGCCAGAAGGAGGGGUCUGCACAGCGAGCAGGGCCCUUCUGGCGGGGGCAGGGGUAGCUGCCUUCUCUUCUGCUGUCUGCUGGGGGCAGGUGGCAAGCCAGGGUACCGGAGAGGGGUCUGAGCGUCCACCUGCCGUUAGUGCCUCUUCUUCUGGAGCCUGGCCCUCCUCUGUGUGCACGUGCGUACCCCUGAGCACUUGAAUGUUGAUGAAUAGCUUUUCCUGGCUAAUGCUUUUAUAACUCUUGUUCCUUUCCACUAUAAGUGGGUGACUUAGGAGUAUUUGGAAGAAGCAUUCGGCUGGAGCCGAAGGUAAAUUGUCCAGGGUAAAGACUGUUUGGAGUCCCUGAAUAUAGAAAGCUACAAGUGCAUGGUCUUUCCCAGGAGUCAAACCCCAGAGUAGAUACACUGGUGGAGGGUAACAAUCUACUCACGUGGUAGCUGUUCUGUCAUUUGUGUUCAAAGAGAGAGAUGGUCACUCAUCCUUGGUUCCUGCCCCCACACAGUGACCUCAUUCUUGCAGUUUGCUUGAAAUGCUGGUGGGGCAGGAGUCCCAGCCUGUGUGGAGCUGGCUGGAGGGGGAGCCGGGCCGCCCUCAGUACGGACCCAGCGUGGUCCUCGGGCCAGGGGAGAAGGGGUGGCCCGUGCAGAGGCGUUCCCGCGCUGCCGCGCCAUUUAGCUGUGUCGGGAAAACCCGACUGUGCCAUAAUCGUUAUUAUGAAGAAAACGCCAACCAGCCUUCCCCUCUCCCCUGCCGGCCAUCGUCCAUUGAAAGUUAACUGAGCAGUCUUUGUGGAAGUCAGGGAGGUUGCCAGAGCUGCGGGGUCCUGCCUGAGAGUGCUGAUUCCUGGUUUUCUACCAUCCAUUUACCUUCUGGUCUUCGGAGUGACCGGAGGCCCUGGGAAUGGCUGGGGUGCAGUCAGCUUUAGUGCGCCUCCCAGAGAGAUGGCUGAAAGACGUGGUCACCUUGGUGCUAAGAGACAACUGCCCUGUUUGCCCAGAGGCUAUCUGCAACUUCACCAAACUAUACAAGAGGGUCCCCUGACUGUGGUGGCCAGGAGUGAGACCAAACCAAGGGGGCACACUCUGUCGGUCAGGCCUGGGUGGAAUGGGAGUUCUUUAUCCAGAGUACGUGUUUUUAACAGAAAGCUGUAACUCGCCUUCGGACAGUGGCUAUGCUGAGGUGGGGGUGGGCUGUCCUCUCUGGGCUGCCUCCAGGCCUCACGAGGUCCCCUGUGGGGAUGCUGCUAUUUCUAAGAUGCAAAUUGCACAUUUCCUAGAUUUUGUAUCUGUGGAUUUGGAGAAGGGAGGGAGCAGGGACAAACUGCGUAUACAAUUUGAUAUGGGCCGAAAUGGUACUUCAGAUCUUUUGAUUGUUCCUAAAUAAAAACAUAAAUAUGUUUCACA